UAGGGAAUAUUAGAAAUGGACGAAAGUCUGAUCUAGCAACACCGCGUGUGCGAAGAAGGCCUUCGGGUCGUAAAGCACUUUUUGGAAGGAAUAGGAAGGAAUGUACUUCCAGAAUAAGUCCCGGCUAACUACGUGCCAGCAGCCGCGGUAACACGUAGGAGGCAAACGUUAUCCGGAUUUACUGGGCGUAAAGCGCGUGUAGGUGGUACUGGAAGUAGGGCGUGAAAGCUCCUGGCUCAACUGGGAGAGGCCGUUCUAAACUACAGAACUAGAGGAUGGUAGAGGGAGGUGGAAUUCCAGGUGUAGCGGUGGAAUGCGCAGAUAUCUGGAGGAACACCGGUGGCGAAGGCGGCCUCCUGGACCAUUCCUGACACUCAGGCGCGAAAGCUAGGGUAGCAAACG
rnacentral:rRNA from 1 species